rnacentral:rRNA from 1 species
UACGGAGGGGGCUAGCGUUGUUCGGAAUUACUGGGCGUAAAGCGUGCGCAGGCGGUUUUUGUAAGUCUGACGUGAAAUCCCCGGGCUCAACCUGGGAAUUGCGUUGGAGACUGCAAGGCUAGAAUCUGGCAGAGGGGGGGUAGAAUUCCACGUGUAGCAGUGAAAUGCGUAGAGAUGUGGAGGAACACCGAUGGCGAAGGCAGCCCCCUGGGUCAAGAUUGACGCUCAUGCACGAAAGCGUGGGGAGCAAACAGG